CCAGACUCCUACGGGAGGCAGCAGUGAGGAAUAUUGGUCAAUGGGCGGGAGCCUGAACCAGCCAAGCCGCGUGAGGGAAGAAGGUACAGCGUAUCGUAAACCUCUUUUGUCAGGGAACAAAGGCGGGGACUAGUCCCCGGAUGAGGGUACCUGAAGAAAAAGCAUCGGCUAACUCCGUGCCAGCAGCCGCGGUAACACGGAGGAUGCGAGCGUUAUCCGGAUUUAUUGGGUUUAAAGGGUGCGCAGGCGGAGGCACAAGUCAGGGGUAAAAUCGCGGGGCUCAACCCCGCUCCGCCGUUGAAACUGUGUCCCUUGAGUGCGCGAAGGGUAGGCGGAAUGCGUGGUGUAGCGGUGAAAUGCAUAGAUAUCACGCAGAACUCCGAUUGCGAAGGCAGCAUACCGGCGCGCAACUGACGCUCAUGCACGAAAGCGUGGGUAUCGAACAGGAUUAGAUACCCGAGUAGU
rnacentral:rRNA from 1 species